AACCUUAUGGACCUGCGGGCGUAUACCUGCGGAGGGAUCAUUACACAAUACAAUAUGAAGGCUGUCCGCAGCUGGAGUAUUUUAUUACCCUUGUCUUUUGCGCACUUGUUGUUUCCUGGGCGGGUUCGCUCGCCACCAGGACCACCAAAUAAACCUUUUUUAUGCAGUUGCAAUCAGCGUCAGUACAAACAAUGUAAAUCAUUUACAACUUUUAACAAUGGAUCUCAGAUCGGAAGAGCA
rnacentral:misc_RNA from 1 species